AAAUUGAAGAGUUUGAUCAUGGCUCAGAUUGAACGCUGGCGGCAGGCCUAACACAUGCAAGUCGAACGGUAGCACAGAGAGCUUGCUCUCGGGUGACGAGUGGCGGACGGGUGAGUAAUGUCUG
rnacentral:rRNA from 5 species